rnacentral:rRNA from 11 species
UCUAUAUGAAGAUAUUUAUAGUCUGGCCUGCUCCCUGACUAUAAAGUUAAAGAGCCGCGGUAAUUUGACCGUGCAAAGGUAGCAUAAUCAUUAGUUUCUUAAUUGGGAACUUGUAUGAAAGGUCUGACAAAGAAAAAGCUGUCUUUAUUAUGAAAGUUGAAUUUAACUUUUAAGUGAAAAGGCUUAAAUAAUUUAGAGGGACGAUAAGACCCUAUAAAGCUUUAUAUAAAAAAUAAUUAAAAUUAAAUUUAUAAUAAAGAUUUAAAUUAAUUAUUAUAUUUUAUUGGGGUGAUAAUGAUAAAAAUAAUAUUAACUGUUGAAUAAAUAUACAUAAAUAAAAGAGUUAAGUUAGUUAAUGAUCCUUAUUUAAAGAUUAAAAGAUUAAGUUACUUUAGGGAUAACAGCGUAAUUUUUCUUGAGAGUUCAUAUCGAAAGAAAAGAUUUCGACCUCGAUGUUGAAUUAAGAUAUCUAUGUAAAGCAGU